rnacentral:snRNA from 1 species
AGAUGUGAGGGCGAUGUCUGUGACAUGUCACCCCACUGAUUGCCAGGAUUGAUUUGCUUGAUCUGGCCGGCUAGGUGAUGUCCCCUUCUUCCCUCAGUGCUCCACGUGUGUUCCUCCCAAAGGAGCCCCGAGUCAAAGAAGAAGACUACCCCUGAUAGAAGAGGACCAUUCCCUCCAUCACGGGUGUAUGAGUAGUUGUGCUUCCCUGCUAAAACCUUCAAACAAGCUCUCUGAAGUAGAUGGUACACUGAACAGUUUCUUAGAAACACAGCUUCUAUUUCAAAACAGCAUUGUCUCACAGAAAUGUAGUAAUA